rnacentral:tRNA from 1 species
GGGGGUGUGGCGGAAUGGUAGACGCUGCGGACUUAAAAUCCGUUUCCCUAUCGGGAGUGAGGGUUCAAGUCCCUCCACCCCCA